CUUCUUUGAGAAUGUCCCACUGGAUGUAGACUUCCUCAUUCCUUUAGGUGAAGAUUCUUCAAUAUUUUUCUUCAUUUUGCCUUUAUCUUUAGCUCUUCGAUCUUCUUCUACAUCCUCAUUGGCAUUUCGAGUUAACACAAUUUAUGUUGCUUAAUCAAAAGAUUUAAUGGUGGGAGUCUUCAGUGUAAGCUUAUGAAGAUCAGUAAAGGCUUCCAGAUGGUGAUCCAGAUGAACAGUGAAG
rnacentral:lncRNA from 1 species